rnacentral:lncRNA from 1 species
UUGAAUCUUAAACUCUCUACAAAACUCUCUCAAGGUUCUCCGGAAACCCUAGCCACCUCUCACCUUAUUCCACCAUGCUUUCCUAGGAAUCCAUGGCUUCCUAGUCCAGCGACGGCCUAAACUCACCUCCAUUCACCCUUAAAUCAUUGUUUCUUGAAGGCUCGAGGUCUGAUCUCGAUGGUACUCUCUCAAACCUUCACCAAUUCGAAGAUUCGAGCCAUCUACGGCCUUGCUCCAGUAGCUCUUGGUCUUCUGAGCCUCUUUCUGACUACAUUUGACUUAGAUAGGACUUUUCCAGCCUUUCUCAUUUAGGGUUCUUCUGAAACCCUAAUUACUC